rnacentral:pre_miRNA from 1 species
AAAGUACUCCCUCCGUCCCAAAAUUCUUUUCUUAGAUUUGUCUAGAUACGGAUGUAUCAAGUCACAUUUUAGUAUUAGAUACAUCCGUAUCUAAACAAAUCUAAGACAAGAAAUUUGGGACAGAGGGAGUAGUUG